rnacentral:pre_miRNA from 1 species
GAUUUCAGCUGAAAAAGUCAUCAACAACAAAGUUGUAUAACUCAUCAAGAUUUAUAACUUCUAUUUUGGUCAUUUCUUCAUCCAACAAAGUGAUAGUAACAUUUUCACAAAAUUUACAGUUUAUAAAACUAUAUUAGAGAUAUGUACAUUUUGUGAACAAUUUUACAAAUCACUUUGUGGGAUGAAGAAAUGACCAAAAUAGAAGUUAUAUAUAUUGAUGAGUUAUAGAACUUUGUUAUUGAUGACUUUUUCAGUUGAAAUC